CCUACGGGAGGCAGCAGUGAGGAAUAUUGGUCAAUGGGCGCGAGCCUGAACCAGCCAAGUAGCGUGAAGGAUGACUGCCCUACGGGUUGUAAACUUCUUUUAUAAAGGAAUAAAGUGAGGCACGUGUGCCUUUUUGUAUGUACGUUAUGAAUAAGGAUCGGCUAACUCCGUGCCGGCAGCCGCGGUAAUACGGAGGCUCCGAGCGUUCUCCGGAUUUAUUGGGUUUAAAGGGAGCGUAGAUGGGUUGUUAAGUCAGUUGUGAAAGUUUGCGGCUCAACCGUAAAAUUGCAAUUGUUACGGGCAGCCUUGCGUACAGUUGCGGUAGGCUGACUUCGUGGUGUAGCGGUGAACUGC
rnacentral:rRNA from 1 species